ACUCAAGAGAGGCUAUAUAGGGAACUGCUAGCAGCGCAGUGCGUUCUUUUGCGUCGGGACUUGGGAGACGUUCCUGGGAAGUCGGAACAAUGGCGCUCGGUGUAAGGGAGCUGAUAAAUGGAUAUGCCGAGAUGCAAAGGAAAAUUCCAAAACAUACGGGAAGUUACUUGAUUAAAACCUGACAAUCUUACCAGCAUCUUGGGGGUUGAUGAAUACUAAUGAAGCUAAGGAUGUCACUGACUAGCAGCCUUACUUUGUUUUGAAUGAGUGGUAACUCCUCUUUGAAAGAAGCCAGUUUUCUCUGACGUCCCUAUUUCUGCCAAGAUUGACUUAGAUGUUGAAUGGAAAACUGGUGAUCAGAAAAAGUUCUUCAUUUUAUGGACAUGGAAAGAAAACAUGCAGAUAAAGAUUGAUUAUAUUUUAAUUGUGCAAAUAGAUCCUCAACCAACAUCAAGUCUAGAUUAAUGUAUCCAUAAGAUUCAAGCUAUUUAUAUUUAAUCAUGUCACACUGCCCUAGAGAAUCAAAACCUGUUAACCAGUAGAUAAAACUUAUUAGACCUGUUGCUAGGAAUGUGUAUCAAACUAUAUUUCAGUCAACUAGCCUUGUAAUCAAAUUUCCAAAUGAAUGUCUUAUCUUUGGUCACCUGUUUGAAUUUAAAAUACAUGUAAUUAAAGCUGAGUGAAAGUUUA